rnacentral:rRNA from 1 species
UACGGGGGGGGGCAAGCGUUGUUCGGAAUUACUGGGCGUAAAGCGCACGUAGGCGGCUUUUUAAGUCAGGGGUGAAAUCCUGGAGCUCAACUCCAGAACUGCCUUUGAUACUGAGAAGCUUGAGUCCGGGAGAGGUGAGUGGAACUGCGAGUGUAGAGGUGAAAUUCGUAGAUAUUCGCAAGAACACCAGUGGCGAAGGCAGCUCGCUGGGACGGUACUGACGCUGAGGCGCGAAAGCGUGGGGAGCAAACAGG